CCUACGGGAGGCAGCAGUGGGGGAUAUUGCACAAUGGGGGGAACCCUGAUGCAGCGACGCCGCGUGGGUGAAGAAGCGCCUCGGCGCGUAAAGCUCUGUCAGCAGGGACGAAAAUGACGGUACCUGAAGAAGAAGCCCCGGCUAACUACGGGCCAGCAGCAGCGGUAAUACGUCGGGGGCAAGCGUUAUCCGGAUUUACUGGGUGGAAAGGGGGCGCAGAGGGCGAUGCAAGCCAGGAGAGAAAGCCAGGGGCCCAACCCCGGGACUGCUCUUGGUACUGCGUGGCUGGAGUGCAGGAGGGGCAGGCGGAAUUCCUGGUGUAGCGGUGAAAUGCGUAGAUAUCAGGAGGAACACCGGUGGCGAAGGCGGCCUGCUGGACUGCAACUGACGUUGAGGCCCGAAAGCGUGGGGAGCAAACAGGAUUAGAUACCCUAGUAGUC
rnacentral:rRNA from 1 species